rnacentral:lncRNA from 1 species
AAUAUCCCAGCUCUAACCCUUCCCUAGAGUAAUCAUUAUGCUGAUUCACUUACCUAUGAAUGGAAAAGAUUCUUCGAAGUUGUAGUAGCACUGUUUGAAAUACCAAUUGAGGUAAGGAUUCUUUUCAGGUAUUCUCAAAUUCUAGAAAUAUUCCCAGUUUUCAAUUAACCUUUGUGAAAGACACUGUGCACUUUAAAUAAGCAGAAGAUUUUUACUCAUCUAACUGGGAAAAAAACUCAUGAAUGUCCUUGCUUUUUCUCCAGGGCCAGCAAGCCUUCUGCUUAUGUGCAUGCAUGUAUGUAUUCAGAGAAAGCAAGAAGCGGUCAGGAGGGCUGGAAAACUGACAGCUCUCAGAAUUUUCCCAUAGGUUGGAAGACCUCCCUACUAUUUUUCCCUGUAGGAAUUCUACAGCAAUAGAAAUGGUCUCUGCAGAGGCAGUUGUUUCAUAUCUUUGGCUCAGCAAAGAAUUCUUCAACGAUUGCUUUCCAGGAACAAUGUUUUUUCUGUCUUCUAUGAAGGUUUGUUCAUAUUCUACUCUACAGUGCGGAUUGAUCACUGCUGUUUGCUAUUUACAAGCACACAAGACAGAGGAGCAUCCUUCCAAAAAUAACCAAGGGAUAGUGAAGCUUAUAUCUGCCCCAAGGAUGGAGGUCACAGCUGGAAUGGCUACACAGACAACCCUCAUGCCUGAAUCAUGUCUUAAUGCAUGUCUGUUUCCUUGGUCCUGAUGAAUCCUGGAUUUAGAAUUGCAAGAAUUCACCCAGCAGAAGAGAGUUCCUCACUCAUGUGCUAUUUGCCAAUGAGUGAAUCACCUCCAAUAGAUCUAAAUUCCAUAAUUGUAUAUGAUGGAUGCUUGAGUGUUUCGUGAGUGGGUACUGAAUAUCAGAAUCCCAUUUGGAAGCUUUGGGAAGGACCUGUAAAUGGCUGCCAUAUUACUAAACUCAUAUUUGUGUACUUUAAAGCAAUCUCAAUUACAAAGAAUGGCAUGUGAAGUACAAAGUGAUAACAGGUGGAAUGAUAAACAUUAAGGCUUAAAUCACUCAAGAUUACUAAAUAUCUGAAAUAGUAAAUUUUCUAGAGUAGGGCUGCAGAAGUUUCUAUGAAAUACAUCUUAGUGAAGCAAUUUUUUCUCUUUCAAAGGAUGUAUAGGCAUUGAUGCCCUUGUUUCCUGAAAAUGGAGCCACAAUGAUAUAUCCCUAAGAUGCUUUGAGACUAGGUAGGGAUUUAUUUGUUCUUUAUUCACUAUUUCAACCAUGGAGAGGCCCAUGGCCUGCAAACAGGUCACAGAUGAUGGAAAUCAGGAAAGACAUAUAGGAAGACAGCUGAAUAAGUCAAGAUGGAGUCCUGUCCAUACUCUCAAAAAUAAUGGAAGUAAGACUGCAGUCUCAAAAAUAAAUGCUUCUACAGCCCAUGGUUAGGUCAGCCUCAACUAGUAGAUGUCUUCUCAUACUGAGACCAGUUUCUUGUGCCAACCACCAUUUGAGAUGCUCUGUUGUAAUUUCACCCUCUUCCCCACUUUCAAAGUAGAGGCACUUUCUCUGUAAUAAUUCACAUUCAUUCUUUCAUAUCUGUGAGGCACUAUUCAUAUAUUAUGUCUGUUCUUCUACCAUUGUUUUCAGAAAAUGGGAAUAAUAGCAAUGAAAUAGAAGCUUCUUUAUUAUUUUGGAUCUCAUAAAGGAACUCCUUCAUUCCAGAUCUGUGUGAAAAGCCAAGUUAUCACUAGAUUCAGAGACCUGAAUUUACCUUGUUCACAGUCAUAGACAGUCAGCGGAUCCUUUCAAAUAUAUUUUAAAAACUGAAAAGGGUGAGAACUAUGUUGAUGUGCUUGCUAAUUUCACAGAAUUUUCCUAGUUAUUUUAGCUUUUACACAAUUCUAAAUAAACAGAGAGAAGGGGUUGGAUCUAGGAACACAGUUAUGUGGUUUCACAAAUGAUGCAAGUCUCAGAUACUAUUUGUCUAUCUUAAAAUUAACCUCCUGGGAAACAGUUAAGAAUAAUGAAAUGGUUCAGAUGGCAGGAUGAAGUUUCAAGAAAUAAGUGAAUUUGCCAUAAAUAUUCAUAAUCGUGUUAGUUUCACUUUUUAAACAAUUUCUAAGAUGUUAGCUUGCUCCAGUGUAACUGCUGGUUAAAUCAAAGGUACAGAGGUUAGGUUAUACCUCCUCCGUUAAUGAUUUGUCUCAAUGCACACAACACUAUAAUGUAUUUUAUGAGUAAGGGAAAUGAUAUUGGUUUGAGAGGUCUCAUGUAGCAGUCAUAUCCUGUUCAAAUAUAAUUUUGAAAACAAUCAGAACCAUUAUGGCUCAUCCAGAAAGAAUGAUAAAGACAGAUAGCUGUAUAUGGGUUUUUAAUAAGUAAUUCACCCUGGGUCUUGAGACAUCAGUUUGCCAAGUAAUGCUAUUAAUGUAUAAGCAUGUUGGUAAAAUCGUGUAUUCUUUCCAUUGGUUAGCUUUAGAUAUGUUUCCAAUGCAAAUAUUGUGUCAAUGUAUUGAAUCCAAGUUUUGCAAAUCCAGACUGUAAUUCAUCUUUCAAGAAUGUGACUUGAUUAUUUCACAUGCCAAAGGAGCAUUAUUCUGGCAACAGUCUACUGACUAUUUAUAGCUCACAUUUCCACAGGGGGAAUUAUGCAUCUUCUGCUGAAUAUUGGAUAUUUAUUGUUGAACAUAUUGAUCACCUCUCAGCUUUUGUGGCUAGUGUCUUGUGAAAGUUUUUAUUUGUAAUGAAAAUGCACAGCAAGAGAGUUGAUAUUAUUGAGCUGUCUUUUUUUCUCAGAGAGAAGUAUGUGCUUUGAGAAAUGAGAACCUAAGCUGAGGCUUAAAAAUAAAACAUCUUAUAUCCAGAAUGCUUGACCAUCCAUCAUGUUGCUGGAGCAGAUUUUAAAGACACUCAAGCCUCCAUCUGGUCUGAACUCCACUCCUCCUGUUCACUAAAACAGAGAGUAACUGAGAUAUGGCAGGCCUUCAUCUGAACACUGAAGAUCCACUUUGGAACUUGGUUGUGGCUGUUUUCAUAUUUAGUACCUACUUAAUUUAGACUGUGCAUUAUCUUCAAACUACAUAAAUAAAUUUUAUACACCACAUGUGUAUGUGUGUGUUUCAUUGUGGAAUUGCAAGCACUUCUCAAGUACUUUUUGUU